rnacentral:rRNA from 2 species
CAACUUUCAACAAUGGAUCUCUUGGCUCUGGCAUCGAUGAAGAACGCAGCGAAAUGCGAUAAGUAGUGUGAAUUGCAGAAUUCAGUGAAUCAUCGAAUCUUUGAACGCACAUUGCGCCCCAUGGUAUUCCGUGGGGCAUGCCUGUUCGAGCGUCAUCU